AAAAUUUAAAGUUAUUAUACUAAAAUAGUAAAUAAUUAUUUAUUGAAACUUAAAUAAUUUGGCGGUAUUUUAGUUCAUUUAGAGGAAUCUGUUUAAUAAUUGAUAUUCCACGAUUAAAUUUACUUAAUUUAUAAUUUUGUAUAUCGUUGUUAUAAAAAUAUUUUUUAAUAAAAUUAAUAUUUAAAAAUUAUUAUAUAAAUUUAAAUCAGAUCAAGAUGCAGAUUAUAAUUAAGAAUAUAAUGGAUUACAAUAAAAUUAUUUAAAUGAAUAUUAAUUUGUAAAAAAUAAUUGAAAGUGGAUUUAAAUGUAAUUUUAUUUAUUUUAAUAAAAUGAUUAAAAAUUAAAAUAUGU
rnacentral:rRNA from 1 species